rnacentral:rRNA from 1 species
GCUACACAUGCAAGUCGCACGAGAACGUUUCAGCUUGCUGAAACUAGUAAAGUGGCGUACGGGUGAGUAACGCGUGGGUAAUCUACCUCCGAAUUGGGGAUAACAUUGCGAAAGCGAUGCUAAUACCGAAUGACAUCUCAAUAACAUCAGUUUUUGAGAUCAAAGGUGGCCUCUCCUUGGAAGCUUCUGUUUGGAGAUGAGCCCGCGUACCAUUAGCUUGUUGGUAGGGUAAUGGCCUACCAAGGCAACGAUGGUUAGCUGGUCUGAGAGGAUGAUCAGCCACACUGGAACUGACACACGGUCCAGACUCCUACGGGAGGCAGCAGUGAGGAAUUUUGCGCAAUGGGGGAAACCCUGACGCAGCAACGCCGCGUGAGUGAUGAAGGCUUUCGGGUCGUAAAGCUCUGUCAAGUGGGAAGAACCUGCCUUUUGCUAAUAUCAAUUGGCACUGACGGUACCACUGAAGGAAGCACCGGCUAACUCCGUGCCAGCAGCCGCGGUAAUACGGGGGGUGCAAGCGUUAUUCGGAAUCACUGGGCGUAAAGAGCGCGUAGGCGGUUUCUUAAGUCAGAUGUGAAAGCCCGGGGCUUAACCCCGGAAGUGCAUUUGAAACUAAGGGACUUGAGUAUGGGAGAGGGAAGUGGAAUUCCUGGUGUAGCGGUGAAAUGCGUAGAUAUCAGAGGAACACCGGUGGCGAAAGCGACUUCCUGGACCAAUACUGACGCUGAGCGCGAAAGCGUGGGGAGCAAACAGGAUUAGAUACCCUGUAGUCCACGCAGUAAACGCUGAACACUAGUGUAGCGGGUAUUGACCCCUGCUGUGCCGCAGCUAACGCAUUAAGUGUUCCGCCUGGGGAGUACGGCCGCAAGCUAAACUCAAGGAAUUGACGGGGGCUCGCACAGCGGUGAGCAUGUGUUUAUUCGACGCAACGCGAGAUCUUACCUGGUUUGACAUCCCGGGAUUCUGCGGAAACACCAGAAGUGCCUUUCGGGAAACCCGGUGAACAGGUGCUGCAUUGGCUGUCG